rnacentral:rRNA from 1 species
CUGGCUCAGAACGAACGCUGGUGGCGUGUCUUAUACAUGCAAGUCGAGCGGCGUAGCAAUACGUAGCGGCGAACGGGUGAGUAACGCGUAAGCAAUCUGCCCCAUAUCAGGAAAUACCCGUGCCAACGCGCGGUUAAUGUCCAGGAGAGUGGCCCCUUGCAUGAGGGGUUGACUAGAGAUUUAUCGGUAUGGGAUGAGCUUGCGUCCGAUUAGCUAGUUGGCGGGCAACGGCCCACCAAGGCGACGAUCGGUAGCCGGCCUGAGAGGGUGAUCGGCCACAUUGGGACUGAGAUACGGCCCAGACUCCUACGGGAGGCAGCAGUAGGGAAUAUUGCACAAUGGGGGGAACCCUGAUGCAGCAACGCCAACGUGUGGGAAGAAGCAUUUCGGUGUGUAAACCACUGUCGUGAGGGAAUAAGGCCCAGUUUAGGCUGGGAUUGAAUGUACCUCGAAAGGAAGCACCGGCAAACUUCGUGCCAGCCGCGGC